rnacentral:misc_RNA from 1 species
UGGGCUUGACAUGUUCGUGACAGGUGUGUUUCCACACCUGUCACGAACAUGUCAAGCCCAGGUAAGGUUCUUCGCGUUGCGUCGAAUUAAACCACAUGCUCCGCUGCUUGUGCGGGCCCCCGUCAAUUCCUUUGAGUUUUAGCCUUGCGGCCGUACUCCCCAGGCGGGGCACUUAAUGCGUUAGCUACGGCGCCGGGGGAGUCGACACCCCCAACACCUAGUGCCCAUCGUUUACGGCGUGGACUAC